rnacentral:lncRNA from 1 species
AUGAUCCACCAAACUCACGCUUACCACAUAGUUAACCUUAGCCUCUGACCGCUAAUGGGAGCCCUUUCAGCACUACUGAUAACAUCCGGCCUAGCCACAUGAUUUCAUUUUAACUCUACUCCCCUCCUGACUAACUCUAGGCCUAUUAACCAAUACAUUAACAAUACAUCAAUGAUGAUGUGAUGUUAUCCAAGAAGGCACAUUCCAAGGCCACCAUACAUCAAUCGUCCAAAAAGGCCUUCGAUACAGAAUAAUCUUAUUCGUUAUUUCAGAGGUGUUUUUUUCCGCUGGCUUCUUCUGAGCAUUCUACCAUUCUAGCCUAGCCCCGACUCCAGAACUAGGGAGAUGCUGGCCUCCAACAGGCAUUUACCCUCUUAACUCUCUAGAAGUCCCUCUCCUUAAUACAUCUGUUUUACUUCCACCUGGAGUUUCAAUUACUUGGGCUCACCACAACUUAAUAGAAGGUAACCAAAGACACAUACUUUAGGCACUGUCCAUCACAAUUGCCCUAGGUAUUUACUUUACACUUCUAUAAGCCUUAGAGUAUUUCGAAGCCCCUUUCACUAUCUCUGGCGGGGUUUACGUCUCAACAUUCUUCAUAGCUACAGGCUUUCACAGGCUUCAUGUUAUUAUUGGAUCAACAUUUCUUACUGUCUCUCUAUUCCGCCAACUAAAAUUUCACCUUACAUCCUACCACUAUUUUGAAUUUGAAGCCACUGCCUGGUACUGGCACUUUGUAGACAUAGUAUGUCUAUUCCUAUAUGUUUCUAUCUAUUGAUGAGGAUCUUA